CAGCCUGAGCGAGAGCGAGUCCCCGCCCCGAGCUGGCCCUGCACCGCCCCCGCGCCCUCACCUUUCAAAGCUCCUCCGCCUCUGCCUCCGCCUUUGCCUCCGCCCCAGGUACCCUCUCCAGACUAGCCACGCUCCUCCUCCUUCCGGGGACCAGGGGAAGUCCCGCCUCUGGGAGGAGCAGGGGGCGGAGCCGGCGGCGGGAGGGGGCAUCUUCCGGGAGCGCGUGCUGGGGGAGGAGCGGUCGCCGCGCGUUAGUCAGGGAUCGGUGCGGGUCCUGGUUCCAAUUGAGCCUGUGCCAAAUGUGCUCCUGCCACAUCAUCCCCACUUGAGAACACUGCUAUAGAGCUACAAGAUUAUAGGUAUUUGGUCUGCUGUUCAAAUUAUUGAAGGUGAAAUGUCAGAUCCAGCUCUGAGGAUUUGAACCAUAGACCAGAUCUCUGGAGAGGAGACAGAUGUUCAAAGACAAAUUUCAGGGCAGGGAGGGUAGGUGAGAGGCCCGUGGGCAGAGUGAGAAGAGCAGCCCCAUUCACACAACGAAUGUCUGGUCGCUCAUCUGGCAUGCUUAAGACAGCCCUGAAAGAAUGUGCCAUCACCACAACAACUGGAGGCAAGAGAAGACAUCAACUCCAGAGCCCAUUGGUGUUAAAGAGCAGUGAUUAAAUCAUUCAGUGUGAAGUAUGAGCCUCAAGUCAAAUUCUGCCAGUGGAACUGAUGAGAGGUGGCGAAUGACUCAAAUGGAGGAGAGGAGAGAUUUGCAAGCUGGAGUGGGUUUGUGGAAAGGACUUCAUGUGAGUCCAGAUCAAGAAGCAAAAUGAAAAGAAUGAAAUUCUUGGACGGUUCAGUUUACAAGUUAAAACCUACAACUUACCCCUAGAGGGCGCUCUUCACUUUGUUAUCUCUCAGAAGCCUUGCCUGGCAAUGGCUGCCAUUCAAAUGGAAAACAUCGCACUUAAUGUUUGUGAAUUGUGUAAGAAUAAUCAGAAGAACCCCACAAUUCUGGGCAGAUUUUUUUACCCCUAACGCUUCUGUUGGUUGUGAUGUAAAGUCCUUGACUGAAUCAAAUGUAAACUGUAAGGAUUCAGCAAAUCCAGGUUGCCUGUGCAAAUAUCCAUAACAUGUAAUUCACUAUCAACAUUUUUAUUCUCAUAAAACAGACAAAGCACACAAUUAAGAAACUUUAUGCUUCUCUCAUGUUUUCACUUUCAUAGAAGCGAUUUUGCAUAUUGAUCACUUUCAUACCAUAUCUUUGUGAGAGGUUUUAUAGCACAAAGUCAAAUAGUUCAUUGGUUUCUUUCUUCUUCUUCUUUUUUUUUUUCCAGAAUGAUAAAUAAAUAAUUGACCUUAUAAAUAUCCUGAUCAUUGCACUAACUUCAUGGAGCUGAUCUAACAUAUCCCUAACUCUGAGAUUUUAUAAGUUUGCUUUCUUUUUUUUUUUUCAAUUAAAAAAAAUACUUAUUUAUUUUUGAGAGAGACACACAGAGUGUGAGUGGGAAGGGGCAGAGAGCUAGGGAGACACAGACUCUGAAGCAGGCUCCAGGCUCUGAGCUGUCAGCACAGAGCCCGACACAGGACCCACAAACUGUGAGAUCAUGACCUGAGCCGAAGUCAGAUGCUUAACCUACUGAGCCACCCAGGAACCCCUAUCAGUUUGCUUUCUCAGUAGAGUACAUGGUCGGUUGUAUUAUUUGAAAAUAUUUACUCUACUUCCUCAAAAUGGGCAGAAAAUACUUCCCCACUCCAUUAUGCUAGACUUGGUAAAUGGAAUGUGAGAAGUAACCAUGCUACUUUCAACAAAGACCUUAACUGUGAUUUAAUAUCUCUUGUGCUUCCUUUCUGUCGUGAGAAUGCAUUCGUUACACAUAGCAGUUGCCCCUUCAGCCUGGAACCCUGACUGUGAAGAUAUGUGAAACAGUGCCAAAGUAUUCACAGCCAAGUGGCACUUGCUAACAUGUCACAUGGGCAAGAAAUGUGUUUGUUGUUAUUAACUGCCAGAGUGUUGGGGUUGCUCUUUGUGCAGCGAGGAAGCUAAUAUAAAAACUGAUGGGGAGUAGGGUGCUGUUGUAUGAAAAAAAAAUCAGUGGCAAUUCCUUCGGGAUAAAGCUGUUGGUGGUGAGAAAGUAUUGAAGGAAACUGAAAAGUGGUAAUCAGUGUAAUAAUACAGGUUUGCUGCAGUGACCAUAACUGCAGAUAGCCUUCUCAUGAACUUGUGGCUUUAGCUGGAAAGGUAUUUAAAUGGAAUAUUGCUAGAGUGUGUUACUUGUUACUAGCUGCAUUUGGUAUUUUAAAAAUGAAAUGAAUCCAGAAAAUAACUGGCCUGUUUGCAGGAUGGCAUGAAAAAGAAAACAGGGAGCCUUAAAUUCUGGGAUUUCAGAGUUGAAAAAUGGGGCUGUUUUUAAUCUUCAAGUGACAAAAGAUAAAAUUGAGAAAUGUAUUGAGCUCAACACCACUGAUUAAGAUGUAGGCUGAAAACAAAUUGUGAGAGUGGCCACAAUUCCUGAAGGCAUGAGUCUGCAAUAGCUUGACAAGCCCACAGUGUCCUUAAGUCUAGAGAAAAACAUACGUCCACCAGAGAAUUCUGGCGUAGGCUGCUGGCGCACAAAAAUGGAAUCAAAUAAAUCAAUAGCUAACAAAGUCUUUGAAAGAGUUCUACUGCUCCAAGCACUGUCAUCCUCAAGUAAGAGUUUGUGACUUUUUGAGACAAUUUGGGCAAGAAGCUGGCUGACCAAGUUGCUCCUUCCCCCAGGAUGGCACAAUCCCCAAUGCCCUCCCAACAUACAACCAGGGAGGAUGAUAACAGAAAAAAAAAAAAAAAAAAAAAGAUGUCCUGGAGGGUUGGAGUCAAGACCCACAGAGAAAGAGGGACUGGGGAGCUACCUGCAGACAGCAGAACAGGGGCUUACUCAAGGAACAUUCCCUGCCCCAGGAUAGGAGGGCCUCUAAUGUUUGUUCAGCAGAACUUCCAAAGUGCUGUGUAUCAAUGAUUGAUUGUUAAGUGCUUCUCAUCCUUCCUCUUUACGAAUGGGGGCAUUUAUUGUAAUUAUUUAUACCCG